AUGGAGCAGCCCGAGCGCGGCACCCAGCGCCUGGCACAGCUCCAGCGGGGGACCCGGGGCGAGAUCCGGAGAGGGAGCGAGAGGGGAAGGGAGGAGAGCCCCUCGCGCCUUUCCAUCUGGCUGGCGGACAGCCGGCCGGCAGCCAGGGCUCCGCGAGAACAAAGCUUUGCUUUUAGAGCCGGGGAAAAGGGGUGGGGAGCAGCACGGCCCCUCCGCCAGCCUCCCGCGGAGCCGAGGUGUGCGAGGAGAAGCCUGGCUGCGGCAUGGGGUCGUGUGUGUUUGUGUCCCCCCUGCCCUGGAGCGGAGCAGCCACAAAAAAAGGGGGCACCGCAGGGGGCUGGGGCUGCACCAGGGGUGCUGGAGGUGUCCCAGGUUUUUCCGGGUGCCUCUCGGGGAAAGCAGCUGCAGGAGAGCCUCGCCGGGCUGGGGCUGGGGCCAAAGCUCUGCUGUGGCACCCCGCGCCCCCCAAAAAGCCCCCCCGAAGCCGUGCGCAGCCGAAGAAGCAAAGCUCGCAGCCCCCAGCCCUGCAGCCAGGUGGGAACACCCCAAAACCAGCCCUGCAGGAGGGGCCAGGGUGGCACCAGCAGCUCCAGGCUGAGCUCCCUGCCCCGGGGGGGGCACACGGGGAGCCCCCCAGCCUGCUUGGGGAGGGUUUGGCUGCAGCCCCUUGUGCUUCCCCGGCACCGCAGGGCAGGGACGAGGCAGGGAGCAGCACCGGGACCCCUCCCUGGGGCUUGGCGAAGGGCAGGAAGCGCACACCCCCCCUUACCCAUGGUGGGGGGGAGUGGAAAACGGGCUGGAAAGAAGGAUAAAAAAAGAAAGAGCGUGAAAAGCCAAGAGAAACACAGCGCCCGGGGGGGGGAAAAACUCCUUAGAAGGCGAGGGGUGGAUGGAUGCUGCCCCAAAAACCUGACCGCCGCACCCCGAGCGCACGUGGGGGCUCCCCGGCGCCCUGCCCCAUGGACCCUGGCCCCAGCAGCCUGGCUAGUGCCAGCCCCCUGCUGCUAG
rnacentral:lncRNA from 1 species